UUUUGUGAAUAUGUGUGAUCUGUGAAAUCCUAAGCACCACAGAAAAGUGAAGUAUUGAGCACAUACCAUCGCAAAGGAAUUAUGGAUGAUUAUUACCGCAACGGCAUGCCUUAUUUUCAUGAUGCAACUAGAAAGAACACGCCAAUCCUAAAGAAUGGCUCGGCAAGGUUUAUCAACUCCAACCAAAGCUUUAGCUGAAUUCAAAGCUUAAUACGGGUUCUAGUGCUUCAUAUUUCAUAGCACAGGAAAAGGAGGGAAAAUAAGUUUUUACCAAGUAUAAAAUUGAUGCAUAACGUAAGAAUCAAAAUUGCAGAAGCAAGACAGCACUGAUGGGAGCUCAGUAAUCGGAGAUGCAACAUUAUUGUUGAAACACCUUCAAUAAGCCAGAAGUUGCGUGAAUUUUGCUCCAGCAUUUUCUCAUACUAGAUGAAAAGUGUGUCGCUUUCUGGCUACUGAUUUCUGUGCUUCUAACAAUGGGGAUGAAAAAUGGAAUUUUUUAUCGAAACCUAUCAAUCUACCUCUCCCAAGUCUCGGAACUGUCGCCAGCAAAUUAUUUCCAAGCCUGGAACAACUUGGGACAUCAAUGCCUUGUAAACAAGCCUAAAUGUAAUAUUAGAGCUUGUCUUUGGUGAUGUAUUCCAUUUAAAUUAGUUUUUAAUAUCUAGAAUUGUGCAAUUUUGGAGCUAGUUCACAAACCCUUAUUUAUCUAGUUAUUUGAAAUAUUCAGAAUUGCAAAGAAGUCUUGCUAAAAUUCUGCAAAUAAGCAUGUGAAAAUAAAAUACAAAGUUAAAAUGUAGAAUUCGAUUCCAACUGUUUAUGCUUUAAAAUAUUUGAGAAGUUAAGCUUCUAAAUCAAGCCAAAAAUUUGAAUGCUUGGAGGUAACAAAUUCAAAGCUCAAACCGAGCAUUGGUUCCAGAAACUAAUGAAACUUCAGAAAUUCUUAAUGUGUGUUCGAUGUUAAAUUUUUUAAACAUAACUAGGAAAGUUGUGAAUGUUCCGGCUUCACAAACAGUUAAAAAAAUUUUGGUGACGAAAGACUGAAGAGUGUGAAGAUCUCGUAUGAGAAUUUCGUAGUUUUUAUAUCCGUUGCAUCUGGAUUGAUGCCCGUUUCAUUUUGUAUGUCAAGCAAAUAGAUCAAUAUAAUUUUCGUAUCGGGAUGCACAUCACAUUUCUUAUUGGAAAAACCACUUAAAAUGCAUGCACCAUACAUCACAAAUGAACUUCUACAUAAAUUGAAUAUAAAACUAAUGAAACUAAGACUUUGUCUAGUUUUCCUGUUUCGAGAUAAUUGAAAUGAUCUAAAAUUUAUGCAUAUUCUUUAUUAAUUCGCCUGAUUGUAGAUUGACCAAGAAUGGAUUUAAAUAAAUGAUUCCAAAUGUCUGGUUUAACUAACAAUUACAAGAGCCAACUGUUUAUUCUACUCCAAACAUGAAUAUUUGGGAGAUAUUUCGCGAGAGAUAAAAGUACUUUCCUUAAAAAUUAAGCGUCAUUAAAUCAGAGUAAAAAAAAUUGAAAUUUUCUACAAAGAUGAUGCGCGUUAGUUGGCAGGAAACGUAUCGCAUGUCAAUAGAAUAUUCCAGAGAAUUCCGUGCAAAUUUCGAGUUCUUCGAAGCUUUUUAUGUAAUUAAACGAGUGUAAAAGGUAAACGUACUUAGAUUCUAGUUCAUUAACUUAGAGUCGUAUCGGAUAAUUAAUUUAAAUUACGGUGGUUUAGAUAGUUAUUACAUUUUUCCAGAGUUGAAAGUAUUAAGCUAAGUUUCUUUAUAAUGUGAAAUAAAUGGGCAAGCUCAGAUAGGAUUGGGAAAGUUUUCUUAAACAAUGGUCUUUAACCAUAUGGGAAAAUUUGAAGAAAGCAUGAUCGUAUGAUUAAAACGAGGGUAUCAACCAAUUCAUAUGGGGGGGGGAUUGGCAGUAACUUGGUUAAAAACAUUCUUUAAUACUUUACAGAACUAACAAUUAACCCCUUUUUCUGUAACUCAUUGAUGGAUUUUUCUCUACUUGCAUAAGCAAAGUUGGCCAUGAACGUUUUCUGCUCUUAACGGAACUCUCCGGAAAAUUUUGUGUUCGAAAUAUGGCUUGAAUGAAAGAUGAGAUGUUGGGAAGAAAAUCAAGAUUUGAGAAAUGUUUUAACCACCCUUUCCCUAAUUCGAGAAAAGUAGAGAGAUGGAUAGGUACCAGCCGGCUGGUAAGAGGUAGGGAAUGUAGCUGCAUGGGUUUUGUUCAACCCUCAAUCCCCUUGCAUUAUAAAAAAGCUUAACUUGUACUUUCGGCUUUGGAAAACAAUUAGCUGAUUAGGAAUGGAAAUAAUAUAUCGAAUAGCUUUCCGUAAUGACAACCCGUUCGUCAUGCAGAAAAUUUUAAUUUUUCGUUAGAAAAGUUAAUAAAAGAAUUCAGGUUAGCCAAUGUAAUGUAAAAGCAUAAGUCAUCGCGAAGUAUUUUCAUAAAGGGUUAAUUGUAAACGCUUGAAAUCGGAUAUUUUGUAGGAGAUUUAUGGGUGUUUUACAUGAAUAUUCAUUUUGAAAGUAGAAUAGACAAUUGACUUAGAGUAGCCAAAUAUUUUUUACAUUCACAUCACAAUAUUUGUCCCAUGGAUUUAAUAGAAAUGCCUUGUUAAGACAUUUAAAUUCUCAGUUAAAUUACUCUGCGAUUCAAUGCUAGGACCAGAUCGUUAGUAAAGUUGCACUAAGAACUCGC